UCUUCACCCUGCAACAGUUAGGGAACCAGGCAUCAAGCAAGUGGACUUCACAACAUCGACACCAUUAGUAGGAUACCAACUGGCAGCAGUUCCAGGAGAAGAAGAACUUAUGCUUGUAGCUGGAACCUGCUUUGCAUUCACAGAUUGAGGUCUUUGCAUCAUGAUGACUGGUUCCCUAACUGUUGCAGGGUGAAGAUUCUUAUAUUCACUUCCAACAGCCACAAAACGUGCUUCUGUCUU
rnacentral:misc_RNA from 1 species